rnacentral:rRNA from 1 species
GUGCCAGCAGCCGCGGUAAUACGGAGGGGGCUAGCGUUGUUCGGAAUUACUGGGCGUAAAGCGUACGUAGGCGGCUUUGUAAGUUAGAGGUGAAAGCCCGGGGCUCAACCCCGGAAUUGCCUUUAAGACUGCAUCGCUUGAAUCGCGGAGAGGUGAGUGGAAUUCCGAGUGUAGAGGUGAAAUUCGUAGAUAUUCGGAAGAACACCAGUGGCGAAGGCGGCUCACUGGACGCGUAUUGACGCUGAGGUACGAAAGCGUGGGGAGCAAACAGGAUUAGAUACCCGUGUAGUCC